rnacentral:lncRNA from 1 species
AGGAUGUGGUGGGGGCCAUGAAGGGUUUAAGCAGAAGAGGGACACAUCACAAUCGAUGGGUCGUCUGGGCAGCUGUGGGGUGCACAGACGCGGGGCACCUGCAGGCAGGAACAGUCAGGAAGCUGUUUUCAUUAGUCUAGGCCAGAAAGAGCUAUGAGUUCCUCGCAGUGGCCACAGGGUUAGAGAAGCGAAGAUGGCUCCUCAAGACUUAGAACGCUCUUAAGUCGCUAACCCAUGGGGUGCGGCAGUGGGGGACAGGGCGGGGUCUAAGUUAAAGGCAAGCAGCCGCGCGGCGGGGCUGCCUGCAGACCGCUCCCGCUUACUCGCACCUCUCGGCCUCUGUGGCAGCUCCGUGCUUUUCCUGGGCGUCUCUCUCCUCCCCUGUUGCCCUCUUUUCUGGCUCAGAUCACCUCCGCGGUUUCACUUCUUCAUCUUGCUUAAAGGCCUUGUAGAGGUGGCAGGUUAUCUGGGGCUGCAGCCUGAACAUAGGAAGUCCUCGCCCAGCUUUGUCUAGACGGCUGAGAUCCCCGGCCCGGGCGGAGGCCCCUUGGGCCCCUCUGGGUCCUUGACAUCGUUCGUGGAGCCUCAGCAGGUCUGUCCCCCGGGAAGCCAAGGUGGGACAUCAGCCUGGCGGCUGGCCAAGUCAUGGAGAACCGCCUGCCCAUCUUUGAGCCAUAACACUCACGCUGGAAGUCAACAAGGGAAAUGGAAAGGCAGAGACCAACCUCCUCCGCGGGCACGCGCCCUGGGACCCAUGCCAGCGCGCAUGCGGCUUCCGGAAUUGGGAACCGCAAUAUCUUUCUGUUGGGCAGCGCUGUUCCAGCCACUGUGUUUGUGCAACAAUGCAGCGGGCUGUCUCACCAGGCGGUCAGCCUCCCCUCACUGGAGAUGUUAACGAAAGGCAUUGGUAAUAGACUUCUUGUAGCAAGAUGGAUGAACUCCGUAAUCCCUCCAGCUCUGACUCAACCAUGGUUCCCAGUCAGUGCCUUCAAAUAUGAAUAGAUGGUACAGGAAAAAAAGAUUGAUGAUCAACUUAACACGGGAAAUUCUUGAUUGAAAAAAAGUUGAGUUCCUUCGUUCCAAGUCUUCUCAGAACCUUCUAGACACAAAAGUGCACCAUGGUUUUUGUGACGGGGACACUGUCAGAGGCAUUCCCC